GUGCUCACUUCAGCAGCACAUACACUAAAAUUGGAACGGAAGACAGAGAAGAUUAGCAUGGCCCCUGCACAAGGAUGACAAGCAAAUUCUGAAAACGCUGGAGGCACCA